UUGACUUUCUUAUACAUACACAUAUGACACAACUUCCAUCAUCAUAGCAACAUCAUCAAAAUCAUGUCAUUCAUUCAGGCAAUGCAACAUUCAUGUUGGCUUACACCAAUUUUCCUAUUGUCCCAUUUAGACAAUAUACUUAUGCAUACAUUCUAUGCUUUCUAGUUAGCUUUACUUAUCCAUUCAUUUAAUUAAAUUAAUUCAUGCUCAUGACAUCAUAUAAGGCCAAACAAACAUAGAUAUUUGCAUCAAAAUCACAACUUUCAUUUCGUGCAUCAUCAUGUACAUAUCAUUACAAUCAUAUAAUUCAGUCCAACAAUUUAACAUAGAUAAGUUCAUUUCAUUAUAAUCCUUUAUCUCAUAAAAUUGUAUAUCAUUAACAUUCAUCAACAUUCAAUGUCCAA
rnacentral:lncRNA from 1 species